rnacentral:lncRNA from 1 species
CUCACCUGCCGUGUUGUGUGGCCCAGUUCCUAACAGGCCAUGGACCAGCAGCAUUCUGCUGCCCAGGGUUUGGAGACCUCUAUUUUAGAGUGAUCUCAGGUGAUCUCUUGGGAGUGGGAGGAUCUCUUCCACUUGACAACUCUUCAAGGACAAAUACUAAACCCUGUGGGGGGAGAGAAAAAUAACAGAUUGCCAGAUAGACUAAAAAACAAUUUAGCACUCAGCAAGAAAAGAAGCAAGAAUCCAAGCUGAAACAUCCCAUGUAGACAGUGUCACCACAACACUUCCAGAUAAAAAAGAAGAAAAGCACCCCUAUGCAUCUCAAUUAGAGAAUCAAGGUGAACCACAUCAUUUUCCUUGAAGCACUGCCAAAUGUUUGACAUAAACUUCAAUUAGGUUUCAA